rnacentral:rRNA from 1 species
AACGAACGCUGGCGGCAGGCUUAACACAUGCAAGUCGAGCGCAUCCUUCGGGGUGAGUGGCAGACGGGUGAGUAACGCGUGGGAACGUGCCCUUCAGUUCGGGAUAACCCAGGGAAACUUGGGCUAAUACCGGAUACGUGCGAGAGCAGAAAGAUUUAUCGCUGAAGGAUCGGCCCGCGUCUGAUUAGCUAGUUGGUGGGGUAAUGGCCCACCAAGGCGACGAUCAGUAGCUGGUAUGAGAGGAUGAUCAGCCACAUUGGGACUGAGACACGGCCCAACCUCCUACGGGAGGCAGCAGUGGGGAAUAUUGGACAAUGGGCGCAAGCCUGAUCCAGCCAUGCCGCGUGAGUGAUGAAGGCCUUAGGGUUGUAAAGCUCUUUCGUCCGGGACGAUAAUGACGGUACCGGAAGAAGAAGCCCCGGCUAACUUCGUGCCAGCCGCCGCAGUAA